UAUAUUUUGGUGUAUGGUGCACAUAAACUUUUGAUGUUUUUGGUGUCAGUUUAAUUCUGUCAAGUAUAG
rnacentral:tRNA from 1 species